rnacentral:lncRNA from 1 species
CCAAUCACCGGCGAGAGCGGUGCGGAGAGGAAGGCGGGUCCUCUCUAGCACCCCCCAAUCCCCUCUCGUCUUUCCCUUGACCGACAUUCCGACGGACCAAUAGACCUCCUCCCCUCCCAGCCGCGGGGGUGGGCGGGACGACGCGCCCACCAAUGGGAGCGGGCGGGCGGCGCUGAGGGAGGAGAGCGGCCGCGCAGCCAGCCGGGGAGCAGGAGAUUCAUCUGACCUUCAACCUAAUUGUGCCAUGUGUUUCCUAGUGCCUCUUCUAGGCAUGGAGAAGAGUGCAACGUUUGCAUAAAGUAAACUGGAUGAAAUAAUCUCCUGUAAGUAUUCAUUGCAGUGGGCUAAAGUAUUGAGGUGAACAAAGGGCUGCCCUACUUGGGUCAUAUUCUAUCUGCUUGGCCUUUGAAAAAUACGGGGCUGUAACUGGAAUA